UACUGAAGGUGUGAGCGUUAAUCGGAAUUACUGGGCGUAAAGCGCGCGUAGGUGGUUAGGUAAGCGAGAUGUGAAAGCCCCGGGCUCAACCUGGGAAUGGCAUUUCGAACUGCUUGGCUAGAGUGUGGUAGAGGGUAGUGGAAUUUCCUGUGUAGCGGUGAAAUGCGUAGAUAUAGGAAGGAACACCAGUGGCGAAGGCGGCUACCUGGACCAACACUGACACUGAGGUGCGAAAGCGUGGGGAGCAAAC
rnacentral:rRNA from 1 species